ACUCUUAGAUCGAUGUGGUGCUCCGGAGUUCUCUUCGGGCCAGGGCCAAGCCGCGCCAGGCGAGGGACGGACAUUCAUGGCGAAUGGCGGCCGCUCUUCUCGUUCUGCCAGCGGGCCCUCGUCUCUCCACCCCAUCCGUCUGCCGG
rnacentral:rRNA from 1 species